rnacentral:lncRNA from 1 species
UAAUGUCCCCCCACAGCCAUGUUAGGAACAAGAGGAGAAUCUCAUCCUAACAUGAGCAAAGUCAAAGGCUCGGUUCUUUUAGAUCGGAUGGAGGGAGAGGCCCUACAAUGCCCUAAUGUGCCCCCACAGCCAUGUUAGGAACAGGAGGAGAACCUCGUCCUGACAUGAGCAAAGUCGAAGGCCCGGUUCUUUUAGAUCGGAUGGGGGG